ACUGUUUAAUGUCUGGACAAAAUAUAAAGACUUGCUGGAAAAUAAAACACCAAGGUGGCUUUCACCUUUGGAAGCUAAGGCCCGAAAAAGACCCAAUAUGGAGGCCAAAUGGCCAAAAUAUUGGGAAAUACUAGAAAAGAUGGAGACAAUUGGAAAUUGCAGAGUUUGGAGAAAAUGAAAGACAAAGUGCGAGAUUGGUUACAUUAUGCUCAGAUUAAAGAAGUUUUUAAAAAUGAUAAGAAACUAGGGUUCCAGGUGGAGAAAUCGAAAUUAGAAACAGAAUUGUUAGAACCAAAGAUUAAGAUACUUUCAAGGAUGUAUAACUUGCUGUUGGAAUGGAAUACACAAGAUGAAAUGGUUAAAUCGGCUAUGAUAAGGUGGGCACAGGAUAUUGGGCAUAAUAUUAUGUUUGAGGACUGGGAAAGGCUGUGGAGUAAUGGAUUGAAAUUUACUGCAUGUAAUGCUUUGAAAGAAAAUGUAAUGAAAAUGAUUUAUAGAUGGUAUAUGACCCCAGUCAAACUCGCAAAAAUUUACCACCUGUCUGAUAACAAGUGCUGGAAAUGUAAAGAGUGUGAAGGAACGUUCUUUCACCUCUGGUGGACCUGCCCUAAAGUGAAGGCGUUCUGGGAAAUGAUUUAUAAUGAAUUGAAAAAGGUAUUUAAAUAUACUUUCACUAAGAAACCAGAGGCUUUCCUUUUGGGUAUUGUCAGCCAAGGGGUGGCAAAGAAGGACCAGACAUUUUUUAUGUAUGCAACAACAGCAGCAAGGAUACUACUCGCAAAACAUUGGAAAACUCAAGAUCUACCCACACUGGAAGAAUGGCAGAUGCAACUGAUAGACUAUAUGCAACUGGCUGAAAUGACUGGCAGAAUCCGUGACCUGGGAGAAGAGAGAAUCGAGGAGGAUUGGAAGAAAUUUAAGAACUACCUACAAAAACAUUGUGAUUUGACUGAAUGCUGAAUAAGAUGCUAGACUAAAUAACUGAGCACCACUUAACUUAGAAGUUUUUAAGAAAAUAAGAAAAACUGUGAAAGUUUAACUCUUUAUGAGAACUAUAAGAUUAUGAAAUAUCGAAGAGAUAUAAGAAUUUAAAUAAGAUGAUAAAUUGCUGACAAAAUGUUAUAAUGAUGAAGGUGGGAGCGGGAGAUGUGAGGAAGUCCAAAGAAAAUGUGAAAUUAUGUUAAGACGAAUGUUAUAUUGUUUAUUACAUUUAUUCCUAUUGUAAAAUCCAAUAAAUUGCUUU